AUGAACGCUGGCGGCGUGCCUAAUACAUGCAAGUCGAGCGAACAGACGAGGAGCUUGCUCCUCUGACGUUAGCGGCGGACGGGUGAGUAACACGUGGAUAACCUACCUAUAAGACUGGGAUAACUUCGGGAAACCGGAGCUAAUACCGGAUAAUAUAUUGAACCGCAUGGUUCAAUAGUGAAAGACGGUUUUGCUGUCACUUAUAGAUGGAUCCGCGCCGCAUUAGCUAGUUGGUAAGGUAACGGCUUACCAAGGCGACGAUGCGUAGCCGACCUGAGAGGGUGAUCGGCCACACUGGAACUGAGACACGGUCCAGACUCCUACGGGAGGCAGCAGUAGGGAAUCUUCCGCAAUGGGCGAAAGCCUGACGGAGCAACGCCGCGUGAGUGAUGAAGGUCUUCGGAUCGUAAAACUCUAUUUUUAGGGAAGAACAAAUGUGUAAGUAACUAUGCACGUCUUGACGGUACCUAAUCAGAAAGCCACGGCUAACUACGUG
rnacentral:rRNA from 1 species